CUAUCCAUUGUGUAUUCCUACUGUUGUAAUAAAUUAAUUUCGUGGACAAAUCUAUCUUCUAUUUUUCUACUGUAAAAUCACACUCAGCCACACGCUCACACACGUCUGACAUUGAAAAGACAGGGAUUUUUCUUGUUUUGACGUAUUUUCUAACCUCUUAGAAUGUUAUUAGAAGUCGUAAUAAAAUAAUUUGAAUAUAAAGCUAUGUUUUAAAGUAAAUAAAGACCAUUUAACGAUGUUAACAUGAUGAGACAUCGAUUUUAUGGAAUGGAGGAGAAGAUUUAACAGCUAGAAAUUAACAAAAAUCCUGCAAGAGCAUCGAGAUCUCGCUUUUGGCGAGUGGAAGUCCAAAGGCAAAGUGCAGCGGUUUGCAGUUCUUAGCCUCACUUUUUUGGACCUAACAAGACAGGAAAAGAAUAGUCAAAGAGGAAACCCGAGUAGCCAGAUGAUAAUAUAUGAAACCAUGAGCAGCCAGCCAUUGAAACUCUCAGCAAUUUGAAUAACAAUUUUGA